rnacentral:rRNA from 1 species
CACGUAGGCACCAAGCGUUGUCCGGAUUUAUUGGGCGUAAAGGGCUCGUAGGCGGUUCGGUAAGUCGGGUGUGAAAACUCUGGGCUCAACCCAGAGCCGCCACCCGAUACUGCUGUGACUCGAGUGCGGUAGGGGAGCGGGGAAUUCCUGGUGUAGCGGUGAAAUGCGCAGAUAUCAGGAAGAACACCCGUGGCGAAGGCGGUUCUCUGGGACGGUACUGACGCUGAGACGCGAAAGCGUGGGGAGCGAACAGG